UGCCAGCAGCCGCGGUAAUACAGAGGGUGCGAGCGUUAAUCGGAUUUACUGGGCGUAAAGCGUGCGUAGGCGGCUUCUUAAGUCGGAUGUGAAAUCCCUGAGCUUAACUUAGGAAUUGCAUUCGAUACUGGGAAGCUAGAGUAUGGGAGAGGAUGGUAGAAUUCCAGGUGUAGCGGUGAAAUGCGUAGAGAUCUGGAGGAAUACCGAUGGCGAAGGCAGCCAUCUGGCCUAAGACUGACGCUCAUGUGCGAAAGUGUGGGUAGCGAACAGGAUUAGAUA
rnacentral:rRNA from 1 species